rnacentral:rRNA from 1 species
ACGGAGGGUGCAAGCGUUGUUCGGAUUCACUGGGUAUAAAGGGCGCGUAGGCGGCCUUGUAAGUCAGAGGUGAAAGCUGCCGGCUCAACUGACAAACUGCAUUUGAGACUGCAAGGCUUGAGUCCUGGAGAGGAAGGUAGAAUUCCAGGUGUAGCGGUGAAAUGCGUAGAGAUGUGGAGGAAUACCGGUGGCGAAGGCGGCCACCUGGUCCGGAACUGACGCUGAGGCGCGAAAGUGAGGGGAGCAAACGG